rnacentral:rRNA from 1 species
UACGUAGGGUGCAAGCGUUAAUCGGAAUUACUGGGCGUAAAGGGCUCGUAGGCGGCCAACUAAGUCAGACGUGAAAUCCCUCGGCUUAACCGGGGAACUGCGUCUGAUACUGGAUGGCUAGAGGUUGGGAGAGGGAUGCGGAAUUCCAGGUGUAGCGGUGAAAUGCGUAGAUAUCUGGAGGAACACCGGUGGCGAAGGCGGCAUCCUGGACCAAUUCUGACGCUGAGGAGCGAAAGCCAGGGGAGCAAACGGGG